rnacentral:lncRNA from 1 species
CUUUGUGUAAUUUAUUCUUGUUCUUAUCAUUUCGAAAAUAAUGAACAAACCCUGAUUGAUCUUUUGUUCAAUCGAAUUAUUGUAAAGAUUUGUACUUAACACGCAGUCCUCGAGAUCGAUACUCGGAUAACUCCCAUUUUAUUACUACAUCUGUGCAAAUAGUACACUUUCUAUUUUACCGAUCAUUAAUCCCUUGACCAAUUUGGGAUCCCUUUCAUUUCAUCUCU